rnacentral:rRNA from 1 species
CCUACGGGAGGCAGCAGUGAGGAAUAUUGGUCAAUGGGCGUAAGCCUGAACCAGCCAAGUCGCGUGAGGGAUGAAGGUUCUAUGGAUCGUAAACCUCUUUUAUAAGGGAAUAAAGUGUGGGACGUGUCCUAUUUUGUAUGUACCUUAUGAAUAAGGAUCGGCUAACUCCGUGCCAGCAGCCGCGGUAAUACGGAGGAUCCGAGCGUUAUCCGGAUUUAUUGGGUUUAAAGGGUGCGUAGGCGGCCGUUUAAGUCAGCGGUGAAAGUCUGUGGCUCAACCAUAGAAUUGCAGUUGAAACUGGGGGGCUUGAGAAUGUGUGAGGCAGGCGGAAUGCGUGGUGUAGCGGUGAAAUGCUUAGAUAUCACGCAGAACCCCAAUUGCGAAGGCAGCCUGCCAAGCUAUGACUGACGCUGAGGCAUGAAAGCGUGGGGAUCAAACAGGAUUAGAUACCCUUGUAGUC